GAUCUUGGUAAUGUUCUGACCUCUUCAAAUUCCAAAGCUGUUAGUGGUAAAGCGGAGAGCAAUGAUAGUGGUGCUGAGUCUAAGGAAGAAGAGGCCCAAGAAGAGUUAAAAGGAGCAGAAUAGAGUGGCAGUGAUGAUAAGAAAAUGAUGAAAUAAUCAACAGAUAAGAAUUUGGAAAUCAUUGUUACCAACGUCUAUAAAGGUAGCUUUGCUCAAGAUAUACAGAGUAAUAUUCAUACUGAUUCUUCCCGGAGUACCAGAGCAGUGAAGAUGAAAAGCCUGGAGAUCAUAGCUUGCAGCAGACAGGAAACACUGUUGUCUAUGUUCACCAAGAUACAAAUGAAGAUCCCAGUGAAGAUGUUUCAGGAAUACAUCAUUUGACAAGUGAUUCCGAUAGUGAAGUAUACUGUGCUUCUAUGGAGCAAUUUGGACAAGAGUAUUACUUAGGUGGUGAUCCUACUCAGCACUUGGAAAGUUCUGGGUUUUGUGAAGAUGCUCAACAAUCUCCUGGAAAUGGCACCAUUGGGGAAAUGUGGAUGGUAGCAGUCAAAGGACAAGGUAAAAUGUAAUAAGAAGGAGAAGAUGACAGAAGUAGCAGUGGAGUGCCGCACCAUGAGAAAAGAGGUGGAAAGAGCAAGGACUUCUCCAGUGUCAGGAGAGGGAGAGUAGGGCAUAGAAUGCCACAUUUGAGUGAAGGAACCAAGGGUCAGCAAGUAGGAAGUGGAGGUAAUGGAGAACGCUGGGGCUCAGGAUGAGGGUCCAGAAGCAGCCUCAAUGAGCAUAUCACUCUUGUGCUCAUUACAAUGCAGGAUGACAUGCAGAAUGUCCUUCAGAGACUUCAUAAACUAGAGACACUAAUUGCUUUGCAGGCAAAAUUAUCUUUGCAGACAAGUAAUCAGCCCUCCUCACAGAGACAAUCUUGGUGGCCCUUUGAGAUGUUCCCUGGUGCAUUAGCUUCUGCUAUUAUAUGGCCUUUUAUUGUUCACUGGUUGGUGCAUUUGUAUUAUCAAAGAAGG
rnacentral:lncRNA from 1 species